rnacentral:rRNA from 1 species
AUUGAACGCUGGCGGCAGGCCUAACACAUGCAAGUCGAACGAGGGGCGGACGGGUGAGUAAUGUCUGGUCAACUGCCUGAUGGAGGGGGAUAACUACUGGAAACGGUUGCUAAUACCGCAUACCAUCCGAUGUUCCCAGAUGGGAUUGGCUAGUUGGUGGGGUAACGGCUCACCAAGGCGACGAUCCCUAGCUGGUCUGAGAGGAUGACCAGCCACACUGGAACGGAGACACGGUCCAGACUCCUACGGGAGGCAGCAGUGGGGAAGAUGGGACAAUGGGCGCAAGCCUGAUGCAGCCAUGCCGCGUGUAUGAAGAAGGCCUUCGGGUUGUAAAGUACUUUCAGCGGGGAGGCGUUACCCGCAGAAGAAGCACCGGCUAACUCCGUGCCAGCAGCCGCGGUAAUUC